rnacentral:tRNA from 1 species
AAGGGAGACCUAAUUCGGGUAUAAGACGAAAAAAAAGUAGUCCCUACCAGGAAUCAAUCCCAAAAGGUCGGAGCGAGGCGAAAUUGGCUUUCAAACUAGGUUCUGGGUUCAAACAAGACCUGAAUCAGGAACAAGGGCUAUUAGCUCAGGUGGUUAGAGCGCACCCCUGAUAAGGGUGAGGUCCCUGGUUCGAGUCCAGGAUGGCCCACCUGCACAGGUGGCAAAAACAAGAGAAGCGAGGAAUCAGCACCUUAUCUUACUGACAUAGUAAGAGAGAAUGCUGGCUCUGAGUAAAGAGUCCAGAGGAACCUUGAAAACUGCAUAGAGCUAGGUGAAAAAGCCAAAAAAGAAGACAGCAA